CCUACGGGGGGCAGCAGUCGAGAAUCAUUCACAAUGGGGGAAACCCUGAUGGUGCGACGCCGCGUGGGGGAAUGAAGGUCUUCGGAUUGUAAACCCCUGUCAUGGGGGAGCAAAUUAAAAAGAUAGUACCACAAGAGGAAGAGACGGCUAACUCUGUGCCAGCAGCCGCGGUAAUGCAGAGGUCUCAUGCGUAGUUCGGAAUCACUGGGCGUAAAGGGUGCGUAGGCUGUUUUGUAAGUCGUGUGUGAAAGGCGCGGGCUCAACCCGCGGAAGGCACAUGAUACUGAGAGACUAGAGGAAUGGAGGGGGAACCGGAAUUCUCGGUGUAGCAGUGAAAUGCGUAGAUAGCGAGAGGAACACUAGUGGCGAAGGCGGGUUCCUGGACAUUAACUGACGCUGAGGCACGAAGGCCAGGGGAGCGAAAGGGAUUAGAUACCCGAGUAGUC
rnacentral:rRNA from 1 species